GGGCUUUUCCCGAGUGAAACCCAACCAAACCCGUGCUGGGCUUUUCCCGAGUGAAACCCAACCAAACCCUCCCGCCUGGGGGUGGGGGUGUCAGCUCUGCCGGCGGGGUCCCCUCCUGUCCCCUCCCUUCUCAGGGAUGUGACCCGCGGGCCUCUCACGGUCCGGCUCCCCCGCAGGGCACAGGAGGAGCCGAUGGAGCAGGAGGAGCCCAUGACCCAGUGACACUUGGGGACGCUCCCCGGGCGCGGCCGGAGCCCCCGAAGAUCCCGAUCCCCGUUUGUCCCCCUCGCUCCCGAGGCCCUGGGCGGGCCUGGACUCCUGGAAGGGACAUUCCCGCAUCCAACGGGAUGGGACCACGGAGAGCCCCGAGCCCGGACCGCGCCUGCAGCCCCCCCCCAGUUUUGGGACCCCUCGAGUGGGGUGAAACCCCCCCAGCCCUGCGGCGCUGACCCCCCGAUCCCGGGACCCUGCUCAGCGGGAAGGGCCGGACGUUGGGAUGGGUGCUUGGACCAGCCUGGGAGGAGCACCCCGGGGUUUGCUCGGGGGGACUGGAUCUCUGCACCCUCCCCAGAGGUUCCCUGGCUCCCCUCGCCCUGCCGGGGCACGGGGAUGGAGCGGCAGCGACGGGGCCGGGAGCUCGGGAGGGCUCAGAGCAUCCCCAGGAAGGUGUGGAACUCCCCAAGGAAGAUUUGGAACUCCCCAAGGAAGAUUUGGAACUCCCCAAGGAAGGUUUGGGGCAUCCCAGGAAGAUUUGGAGCCACCCCAAGGAAGGUUUGGAGCCACCCUGAGGAAGGUUUGGAGCUCCCCAGGAAGGUUUGGAGCCCCCCAAGGAAGAUUUGGAGCCCCCCAAGGAAGGUUUGGAGCUCCCAAGGAAGGUUUGGAGCUCCCAAGGAAGGUUUGGGGCAUCCCAGGAAGGUUUGGAGCCCCCCAAGGAAGAUUUGGAGCUCCCAAGGAAGGUCUGGGGCGCAGGCAGUGCCGGGGGUCCCUCCUGCCCUUGCUGAUUUGCACUAUGGACCCUGCCAGCGCUAAUGUGAACCCGACUCCUCUUCCCGGGGGAAUUUUGGGAACCUUCCCCCUCUUCCCGAGGUGCCUCGAGCCCCUUCCAGCACCCCGAGGCCCUGGCUGGGUGCGGGUCCAGCCCCUGAGCCCCUCCCCAGCCGCGGCUCCCCAGUUCCCCCUGGGGAUCCCAAAACCCGUCCCCGUCCCUGUCCGGGGUGAGGGGGCAGAUCCAGAGCCGCCAGCCGAGGGUUCCUCCCCAAUUCCCUUUUCCCAUCUCCCCUUCCCGGCACCCCGAGGGUUUUCCCAGCAGGACCAGGCUCUGUCCCGGGGCUCUGGGGACAGAGGGGACACAGCCCCGGCUGAGCUGGGCGUGGGGACGGCUCCGGCCGCGGCGGCGGGAGGAGAUUUUGUAUAA
rnacentral:lncRNA from 1 species